rnacentral:misc_RNA from 1 species
GUGUUGGACGACUUAUUAGGGAGGAGUGGCAAAGAAUUAAAAAAGUUGGGGAGCUCAUCGCCUCAUCCCAUAUAAUAUUGUCCCUUUGGAAGCACCAUCAUUAACCAAUUCUACUGAAGUUUUCCCUGAAAGGUGCCAUAUCUGCCAUUAAAUAUAUUGAGCAUUCCCCCAGACUUCCUGCUGAUUUUGAGAUUUCUGGAGUAUGUGAUGCUGACAUGCUUGAUCUUCUGGAAUAUGUGUUUGGCUUUCAGCUAGCUUUUGAGAAAUUUUUUGUCCAGAAAACCAACGGACUAUUGGGCUUAUUGGCAAAAGUGAGUGGAAUAUAAUUUUUAAUUAGUGCCAUAGAUGAUGUAUCUUGUAGUGGUUGACUAUUUUGGUUCAUAAUGCAAUAUUAAAUUGCCUUUGAAUUUGAUGCAUUUAAAUGUUUUUAUUGAGAGUGUCGUGGAUAUAUAUAGUUGAAUUUGAAUAUUUGAUGCAUUUAAAUGUUUUUAUUGAGAGUGUCG